ACCAGACUCCUACGGGAGGCAGCAGUGGGGAAUAUUGCACAAUGGGGGGAACCCUGAUGCAGCGACGCCGCGUGGGUGAAGAAGCGCCUCGGCGCGUAAAGCCCUGUCAGCAGGGAAGAAAAUGACGGUACCUGAAGAAGAAGCCCCGGCUAACUACGUGCCAGCAGCCGCGGUAAUACGUAGGGGGCAAGCGUUAUCCGGAUUUACUGGGUGUAAAGGGGGCGCAGACGGCGAUGCAAGCCAGGAGUGAAAGCCCGGGGCCCAACCCCGGGACUGCUCUUGGAACUGCGUGGCUGGAGUGCAGGAGGGGCAGGCGGAAUUCCUGGUGUAGCGGUGAAAUGCGUAGAUAUCAGGAGGAACACCGGUGGCGAAGGCGGCCUGUUGGACUGCAACUGACGUUGAGGCCCGAAAGCGUGGGGAGUAAACAGGAUUAGAUACCCCCGUACU
rnacentral:rRNA from 1 species